ensembl:lncRNA
GGUACGCACAUGUGGGAGUGGCCCAGCCCUGGAACAGCAGAGCCUGCCCUGGUGGGAGGAUGAGGGUACGUGUGUGGGGGCAGCUGGAAGGAGGCCAGGUGGAGGUGAGGAGGGCAGGGUCCAUCUGGGGCAAUGGGCAGAGCCCGGGCCCCCCCACAGUGGCGGUGGGCAGGGCUCCCCCGUCACCUGAGUGCUCCUGGGCGGGGAGGUUCUCCUCAUGGCUGGUGACCCGCCCACCUGACUUGCUCCAGUUAAUUGUCCAAGUGUUUUAUUUUUUCCCUGUGAAUCUCUCGGAGGGACAAAGGCAGGUUCUGAGUCACCAGAACUGGCCCCGUGACCACCCACUCUGGAGCCUUGCCCUUGUCCCCACCCCACCUCAAGGACCCGAGAACCCUGAGGCAGCUGGGGCCUGGUUCAGGGUGACUUUGGGGAGCCCAGGAUCCUGCCCGGUAUGGGAGGUGUCCCCACUGCUGACCAGCGCCCCAGGCCAGGGUGUGUGACCUCCUUGGGGCCUGAUGGAGCAGCCUCCUCGCUGUGGCGCAUUUGCAAUUCAUGGCUCCAGCGAGAUUGCAUUAGGGCCGGCUGUCACUCGUGAUGAAUGUCGCUUGUUUUCCAGAAAAAAACGGGCCCUGGAUGCAGAGUGACAGGGCUGAGGGAGGCAGCCGGCCCUUCCCCGGCCUGAGGCCCAGGAAUGGCUGCUUCCUCAGCGGCCUGCCAGUGGCCUCGGAAUGCGACGCCUCCUCGGGCUCUCAGGGGUCCCACUUGGCCUUUCCGGUUCACCAAGCCCUUCCCACGGGCUUCUCCCAGCAGCCCUGCUGAAGGGUGGGCCUCCACUGGCAGGGCUCCACUUGACAGAUGAGCAAACUGAGGAUUGCAGGAAGAGGGAAGGUGAUGGGAGAGCGUCGGCUGGAGGUGGAAUGGAGAGUGGGGCUGGGGCUUCCUGAGGAGGAAGUUCUGCCCGACUUUGAGGGAGGCCGAUGGAAGGCAGAGGAAGGAUGCCCUCGAGGCUCAGCCCUCCCCACCCCGUCCAGCCUGCAGGGCUGAGGGGCCGCCCCAGGGAUCGGGAGCUACUGUCUGCCCAGGCUUUGCCUGUGGUCUGCCCUCUCUCUCUGACAACUCCCUUUCUGUCCCAAAGAAGGGAGUGCCACAGGUCUGAGGCUCUGGGCAGUUCCUCCCAUCGGAUGCUGACUUUGAUGGGGCAGAAGGAGUUCUUUCCGUCCCAUCCACCCCAACCCCAGGCCCGCAAACAGGUCAGGGGAGCAGCCUCACAGCCCCAAACCCACCCAAAGGGACGAGGCAAUGCAGACCAGAAGAAAAAAAAAGCGCUCACUGGGGGUCUGGAGCUGGAGUCUGACCCCAGGUAUGCUGUUACAAUAGCUCCUGCUAAGUGGGCACUUCCUGUGAGUUAUUCCUUCUCCAUGACAUCCCACCCAGGCAGGUAAUAUCUUUCUCCCCAUUUCGCAGAUAUGGAAAUAAGACUCAGAGAAGGAGAGGUGGGCUGGGACGAGAGCCCUCGGACCUGACCCCAUCCCUAGUGCUGACUGGGUCCUCCUGCCCCUCCGUCCUUUCUGGGCUGUGAAGCAGCAGGGUGUCACUCCCCUUGCGGCCUUCCCUCCCCCGCUCCAGCUCCUGUCCUGGCAUCUUUAUCCAAUGUGGAAAGCUUCUCCUAGAAUGCCAGGUGUCCACUCCCUCCAGCUGCCUGCCCCAUCUGUUCUAGGGUGGCCCCAGAGACAUCACUGUCCUAGGGUGGCAUUCACUGUCAGUCUAACACUUGGAUUUUCCUUGGCAUCAGGUCAGAGGUCCAGCUCUGGAUCCACUUCAACAACCCUCCCCUGGCCCACAGAGGCCAGGGACCAGACAGGUUUCCAGAAUCCAGACGUACCGAGUCCCUGACCCUUCCCCAUAUGGACAGAUGUUAGUCUCCAUCUCUCUGGGAUGUGAUGUGAACAGCUGCUCCAGAACCCUGGAGCAUGCCAGAGGCCAAGGCUUGAGGCCAACAUCGUACCCUCCCUCCAACUGCACCUUCCAAAAGAAGCGUGGAGCCAGGCAAGAAAAACAUUGGUUUUGGAGUGAGCUGGCUCUGGGUUCAAAUCCUGCUGUUGUCCCAGCUGUGUGUCCUUGGACAAGUUGCUUCACCACUCUGAACUCCAGUUUCCUUCUCUAUAAAAUGGGCAUGCCUAUGCCUCACAUUGCAUGGCAGUUAUGGGGCUCACGUGACCUGUGUGUAAAGGCACACAGUAGGUGCUUAAUAAGUGGGAUAGAUGAUAUGAUUCAUUCUGUAGAUCGGGUGUGCGGUUCAGUGCUCUGCGCCUGUGGGCACCAUCCCUCCAGGUCCCUGGGUCCCAGUCACUCUUGUCAUCAAUUAAUGCUGCUGUGCCACUUGAAUGGCCAUCUGUCAGCACCAGCUGCCGCCUGCCGCCAUCAGGGCACCACGCAAGGCCGCAUAUGCCCCAGGGGCCCUGCCACGCCCUGUCCGCCCAGCAGACUGCUCCAGUCUGCCCCAGUCUGCCCUCAGGCUCCCAGAUAAGGGGACAGCAGCAACUCCCCCAGGUUCCAAGGGCACCCCUUGUCCUCACCCGGGGCCUUCCACACCCCCAGGGGCUCCCCGUGAAGGUCUGGGGCCCAGGGACCCGGCUGGAAGCCCCUCUGCUCCCACAGCGUGGCCGGCCCCUCCCGCCCCUCCGCCAGCUCUUACCACAUCCUGGCGCAGCCCUGC